AGACUGGACAACUUCAGUGGUCUUUUAAUAUGUUGGCUGAAUGCUAUUUGUUUUUGUGAGCACAAGAAGAUUUUUUUUUACAUUUGAAUAUGAUCUGGAUAAGAUUGCCUUUCUUCUAUUUAUAGCCACAUAUUCUUUGGAAACAAUAUCUGAAAAAUCAUAGCAACUGGUAGGAACAUUUAGAAAGAACUUACCCAAUAGUGGGUGAUGAAUCUCUUAUUAUUUUUAGUUUGUGCG